rnacentral:sRNA from 1 species
UACUUCUCUCAGAAAACUUGGAAAACACUGAAAAGCAGAAGGAAGGAGAAAACCUCACAUUCCCUUAGCCCUACCCCAAGACAGUAUCUUCUUCUCCAUGUUGUUUUACACAACUGAAAUCAUGUAGCAUAUACAGAGGCACGUCAUAAAUUCACAGAUAGAAAAUAAUAUGAACAGAGAGAUUUGACAGUAUAUGAUACCUACCACUGAGUGGUUUAAUUGUUUCUCCAAUAAAAAAUAAAUCUCAUCUCUCAGAUCAUUGAAUCUGAGUUUCUAAGAUGAACAAAAUCAUCACUCAGAUUCUUUGGGGAGGCAUUUGGCUAUUCUACCGUGUCAUGCAUCUCUGCUUUUGCAGAGGAGGAAGGAGAGACUUCUGUUUAGUAAUUUCUCCAUAUUGGGGUCCUGCUGUGAAAAAGUUUAGCUGUUCUUAGCAAGCGCUGGACCAGAACAGCCUCAGCAAUUGUUUAAGUGAUUGUCAGACAUGCAUCUGAUUAUGGUGAGAAGGAUAUUGCCAGAGAAAUAUCUUAACCUCUUGUAACUUCUUCAAGCUCCUUAGAGCUGGGUCUUUCUUUCCCCAGGACUCUUCUCAGGGGAGCUCCCGGAGUGCACUCAGGAGCUGAUGAUUGACGUCACCAAGAGCUACUACCAGAAGUUUUUGCCCCUGACACAAAUUUAGCAUCUCUGCCUCAUGUCUUGAAUCUGCUUGAGCUCUAAGAUGAACCUGGGGACAAAGUGAGCCAGUCAGCACCUACAAAGAGCUCUUGUGUCUUUGACAUCUACCACCCUCCUCCUUUUAAAAAAUUUCUGUAGAAUUUCUCGAUCUUCAAGGCUCUAAGCGCUUAAGAAUUCACUAACAGACAGACCAUCUGGAGGAGCUGACUUCAAAUGCUGUGCUUACACCUUAUCUAUGAACAGUCCACUUUGUACCAUUAUCUGUGGAACACAGAAUCAUCUGUUCCCAUGCUCCAGCCCCUUGGUCCUGUGGAUGGCUGGAUCCCGCCUGAAACGGACCUGCAGAGCAGCAGCACCCUUCUGGUGUGGAGGCUAUGUAGCUGGUGCGCUGCUCACGGCCAUUCACUGCCCAUGCUGAGCGCCUCUCACACAGGUAAUGCCCAGCUUUUCUGCUGCUAACACAUUUGGCCAGUUGUUGGAAUUGCUCAUUAUCUUGGGAAUGGUGUUUGUGACUUUUCAGAGCCCAGAUUCCUGUUGGCUAUUAAAACUUGAAGGGAGGGGUGAGUAGUGUUUCUCUCUCUUCUUCCCAAAAUGACCUUAGCUGUCCUAGGAUAGUUAGUAAAAGACUUUUUAGCAUUUUGACCUAGGGCCUUUGGCUUUCACUAAAAGUGGCCUCAGUAUCCCAGAUUGUAAUUUUGCCAAGUGUUAGAUUUGAGUCUCUCAUGUGGAUGCAUUAGUCAGGCGGUUGCUCCUUGCUUCAAGGUACUUACCUUAUUUCAUUGAAGACACCGCAUUUGUGAACUCUUGCUCCCUGGCCUAGAACCAUUCAGCCUACCCUGUAUUUGCCAUAAACUCCACAAUUCACACCAAAAUGUCUGUACUUAGAGCUCAUUCGCAUAUAUACAUGAAGGGCUCUUAGAAUCAGUUUGUGGGCACAGAGCCUCAGGAGUAAAUGAAGUUGCUAGGGCUGUUCUUACCAUCUCCUUCUGGCCAAAUAGCACAACCUUUCCUGGUUCUGCUCUGACCUCUUAGCUUAGAAGGAAGAUUUAGAAGUGAGGGGCUAAGAAGGUUGUCCUUGCUUAAUGCUCUGAUCUGUAAGUGAAUAGGGCAGAACAGUUCAGCCUUGAGGUUAGAAUUUAGCAGGAGCUAUCCUGACUUAAUAUCCAGUUGUGGGGUUUGCAAAACGAAACAGCUGUAUGUAAUCAUUGCCCACUAGUUCCAUCUAGAAAUCCUUUCUAGUUUGUCAUUUUUUAAAUGUUUAUACAUUAAAACCACCAAAAUACAUAGCUUCGACAAGAUGGAAGUUUAUUUCUCUCUUCCAUAACAGUGCAGUGAUAGUCAGCUGGUCCAGGCCAGGCAAGGGGCUGGUCCAUGAUGUCAUCAGGCACCGAGGUUCCUACUGUUUUGCCAUGUGGCCACAGUUAGCAACAAAGGAGGUUGUAAAUUUAGUUUCUACUUGGGCAGCCAAAACUCUGAGGAAGGAGAUUCUGCUAGUAAAAAGGAGUGGGGGAAGAAUGGCCACUGGGAGACAACAAGCAGACUCAACCAGGCCUCUGUGUUGGCUUCCUUUCCUCCUGCUGCACAUGAGCCUUCUCCAUGCAUUUGGAGCCAUGACAGCUGACAGCUCCAGACCUGCAUCCUCCCAGCUUGGGGGCCCUGAAUGAAAGGUUUCUUCCCUCCAGUUCUAAUUUGGAAACUCCCAAAGUUCUCAGUGGUUUGUUGUGAGUUCCAUGUCCUCUUGGAUCAGUCACUGUGGCCAUGCGUGUUUGGCCACAUGAUUAAUCCAGUCUGGGUCAUGACCUUUUCUUCAUUCAAAACAAGGUGGUGGGAAGACAAAAACAAUAGCUACUACAAACAAUAGGAGUUUAUAAUUAUGUGCUGAUGUAUUCGAAGAUGUGUUGACAGUCGUGAGUGUGUAUCCUAGGAAAGGCGAGCUGGACUCUGUCUCCAUGGUGGCUCUCACCCCAGGGACCUAGGAACAGCCUGUCACCACACAAUUACUUUUAUAACCCUAGAGAAGAAAAUCUCCUUGUCCUCAAAAUACUUCCAGAAGAACAACCAGAUGGGAAGGACCUUGGUUGGGACUCUUUCCAGUUCACUUGGGGCAGAGGGAAUUUAAUGGCUCACGUAGCUGAAAAGGAUGGGCUAGAUUGGGCUUCAGGCUGCAUCCCAGGGCUCCAAACAGGGAUCUGUCUCUUUGGCUCUCAGCUCUGCUUUCAUUUGAGUUGGCUUUAUUCUUGGGCUUCACAGUGUAGCCCCACAGCACCAGUUAUUGAUAAAAAGAGCUCCCCUUUGCUGACAGAACUGCUGGAUUUGGUUCUCAUUGGUCCAGAUGAGGAAGGUAUCUAGCCUCAAGUCAUCAUUGUGGCCAGGAAGAUGGAAUACACCGAAUGGACAGGCCUGGCAUGUACCCACAGAGACUGAGAGUUGGUGCUGCUGGUUGUGGUGGCAGAUGAUAUUACCUGAAGAAGGGACGAAUGGGUGCUGGGCAGGACAAAGCAGCAGCUGUCCAGUUCAGGCUUCUCCUCUUUCCCUGGUGUCUUCAUUUUCCUCCCUCUCCCUGCUGUCCCUUACCCUCUGCCCAAUCUUUAAUUACUUCUGGUCUUGGGAGGUGCCUUCUGAGGAUACUCCAUUGGGGGUACCUGAGCCUGGAUUAGAGGGCAGGGGGAGGAUAUUGCCUAGCCAAAGUGGGUGUUCAAUAAAGAACCAUUUGGAGAUGGUCUUCUGUCUGG